CCACCGGUCUGGAACUCAAAUCAUGUAAAAUUUCUAAAGGUCGAACAGACCUUCCCCUUAUAAUCUCUACUUCAUAAAGAACUUUUAAUUCAACAUCGAGGUCGCAAACUUUCUUGUCGAUAAGAACUCUUAAAGAAAAUAACGCUGUUAUCCCUAAAGUAACUUAAUCUUUAAUCCCUUUUAGGAUCAUUAAAUCAAAUAUAACUGUAGAAAAAAAAAGACAGUUAUUUUAUAUUUUAUCCUUGUCACCCCAACCAAAUACUCCAAAGUAGCAUCAUUAAAUAAAACUAAUUUUCUACCUUAUAAAUAUAAAGUUUUAUAGGGUCUUAUCGUCCCUUCAAAUCAUUUAAGCCUUUUCACUUAAAAGUUAAAUUCAAUAUAUUAAUUUAAGACAGAUUAUUUCUUGUCCAACCAUUCAUUCUAGUCUUCAAUUAAAAAACUAAUGAUUAUGCUACCUUUGCACGGUCAUAAUACCGCGGCCUUUUAGUUCCCAAUGGGCAGGUCAGACCGUAUA
rnacentral:rRNA from 1 species